rnacentral:rRNA from 1 species
CUGCAGCCCGAGUGGUGAUCGAUUUUAUUGAGCCUAAAGCGUCCGUAGCCGGACUAGUAAACCCUUGGGUAAAUUGGGCAGCUUAACUGUCCGAAUUCCGAGGGGACUGCUAGUCUUGGGACCGGGAGAGGUCAGAGGUACUCAAGGGGUAGGGGCUAAAUCCUGUAAUCCUUUGGGGACCACCAGUGGCGAAGGCGUCUGACUAGAACGGAUCCGACGGUAAGGGACGAAGCCCUGGGGCGCGAACCGGAUUAGAUACCCGAGUAGUCC